rnacentral:rRNA from 1 species
CGCGUAGGCGGUGCGGUAAGUCACCUGUGAAAUCUCCGGGCUUAACUCGGAGCCUGCAGGCGAAACUGCCGUGCUGGAGUAUGGGAGAGGUGCGUGGAAUUCCCGGUGUAGCGUUGAAAUGCGUAGAUAUCGGGAGGAACACCUGUGGCGAAAGCGGCGCACUGGACCAUAACUGACGCUGAGGCGCGAAAGCUAGGGAGCAAACA